GGUCUCUUAGUGUAGUGGAAACACUCUGGACUUUGACCGUGCCGCCGGAUGCCAUCCAGCAACCUCGGUUCGAACCCGAGAGAGACUG
rfam:Vitrella brassicaformis CCMP3155 genome assembly, contig: scaffold51